rnacentral:rRNA from 1 species
UACGUAGGGUGCGAGCGUUGUCCGGAAUUACUGGGCGUAAAGAGCUCGUAGGUGGUUUGUCGCGUUGUCCGUGAAAACUCACAACUCAAUUGUGGGCGUGCGGGCGAUACGGGCAGACUGGAGUACUGCAGGGGAGACUGGAAUUCCUGGUGUAGCGGUGGAAUGCGCAGAUACUCAGGAGGAACACCGGUGGCGAAGGCGGGUCUCUGGGCAGUAACUGACGCUGAGGAGCGAAAGCGUGGGGAGCGAACAGG